GCAUCGAUGAAGAACGCAGCGAAAUGCGAUAAGUAAUGUGAAUUGCAGAAUUCAGUGAAUCAUCGAAUCUUUGAACGCACAUUGCGCCCCCUGGUAUUCCGGGGGGCAUGCCUGUUCGAGCGUCAUUUCACCACUCAAGCCUCGCUUGGUAUUGGGCAACGCGGUCCGCCGCGUGCCUCAAAUCGACCGGCUGGGUCUUCUGUCCCCUAAGCGUUGUGGAAACUAUUCGCUAAAGGGUGCUCGGGAGGCUACGCCGUAAAACAAACCCAUUUCUAAGGUUGACCUCGGAUCAGGUAGGGAUACCCGCUGAACUUAAGCAUAUCAAUAAGCGGAGGA
rnacentral:rRNA from 1 species